rnacentral:rRNA from 1 species
UAGAUAUAUGGAGGAACACCGGUGGCGAAAGCGGCUCUCUGGUCUGUAACUGACGCUGAGGCUCGAAAGCGUGGGGAGCGAACAGGAUUAGAUACCCUGGUAGUCCACGCCGUAAACGAUGAGUGCUAGGUGUUAGGUCCUUUCCGGGACUUAGUGCCGCAGCUAACGCAUUAAGCACUCCGCCUGGGGAGUACGACCGCAAGGUUGAAACUCAAAGGAAUUGACGGGGGCCCGCACAAGCGGUGGAGCAUGUGGUUUAAUUCGAAGCAACGCGAAGAACCUUACCAGGUCUUGACAUCCCGAUGCCCGCUCUAGAGAUAGAGCUUUACUUCGGUACAUCGGUGACAGGUGGUGCAUGGUUGUCGUCAGCUCGUGUCGUGAGAUGUUGGGUUAAGUCCCGCAACGAGCGCAACCCUUAUUGUUAGUUGCCAUCAUUCAGUUGGGCACUCUAGCGAGACUGCCGGUAAUAAACCGGAGGAAGGUGGGGAUGACGUCAAAUCAUCAUGCCCCUUAUGACCUGGGCUACACACGUGCUACAAUGGCUGGUACAACGAGUCGCAAGCCGGUGACGGCAAGCUAAUCUCUGAAAGCCAGUCUCAGUUCGGAUUGUAGGCUGCAACUCGCCUACAUGAAGUCGGAAUCGCUAGUAAUCGCGGAUCAGCACGCCGCGGUGAAUACGUUCCCGGGCCUUGUACACACCGCCCGUCACACCACGAGAGUUUGUAACAC